GCGACGCUGUCGCGUCCCGGUGGCCGCUCCCACGGGAAGGUCCCGGCCCGGGAACACCGGGAAUGGCCCGGGGGAUGGAAGACCCUGCGAUCCCCCCGUCCCCGCUGCCCCGGGAACACCCUGCGAUCCCCCGGGAAAGGGAAUCCCGGCGGCAGUGUCCCAGGAAAUGCAGGCGGGACAACGUGGAGCCUUUUCCUCUCUCCGAGCUCGGGGUCCCAGCAGAAAACAAAGCUAUCCAGGGAAUCCUCUGCCCCAUGGCUGUGGAGCUCUGCCACCUCCUCCUGGCCCUGGAACGGGAAGAUGGGAUUUGUGAGACCUUUCCCAGCUUAGGGGAGAAGGCGGAAAAGCUGGCCAAAGCCCUGGAAGAACUCGCUGCUGUGGCAGGAAGGCUGGCCUGGGAGUCCAGCGAGGAGGGGACCACGGAGAUGUGUCCCAUGGCCAAAUCCCUGGAGCAGGCCGGGAGGGAUGUGCUCCUGGCAGCGCUCCAGCUCCAGGAGCACCCGGAGAGCCCUCAGCUCCGGGAGCACCUGGCAGCGGCUGCCAGGAGAGUCCUAACGGAGACAGCGAAGGUCCUUCAGCUGGAAGAGGCCGCCGGGAUGAGGCGGAUCACCCGGGCAGCCGGCCGGCUCCUGGAGUGCCUGUGUGUGCUGCGGGAUGCCCGGGACACGCCGGGGCUCCUGGCAGCAUUCCAGGCCUUCUCCGAGGCCGUGCUCCUGCUGAGCCGCCUGACAGCCAAGCGCCUCCAGGAACUCGGGGAUGGUCCCGCACGGAAGAGCUUGGCCCACACCCUGCAGCUCCUCCACCGGUGUGUCCCCCUGCUCCACGGAGCCGUCAGGCAUUCCAGGGAUCCCCGAGCCGACCUCUCCGGAGACGACGCUUUCCAGCUGACAGAGGGGACCAUCAGGGAGCUCCUCUCCCUGCUCACCGAGCCCCGGGACAGGAGCGGGAUCUUCUCCCAGCAGGUGAACAUGCUCCUGGAGCUCCUCUCCCACCCGGACAGACUGCGCCUCUCCGAGGGCGGGCUCAGCUCCCACCUGGAAGCGGUCAUUCUCCAUGGAAUGCUGCUGGCAGACUCAUCCAGGCUGGAUCUGCAGCUGGAGCUGGUGGAACGCUGCUGGGUCCUGCUACAGCUGAGGAAGAGCAUGAGGCGGUUGGAAGGAUGUCCAGGACAGGGCCGGGGAGAGCAUGGAUUGGAGCAGGAAUGUCACAGCAUGAGGAAGGAGCUGGAAAACCUGGACCGGACCGUGCUCAGGGCCACUCUGUGCCAAAUCCUCGAGGGAUUCUUUGAGGAGAAGGAGCCCCUGAGGCAGUUAGUUGAAGGUGCCCUUGCUCUUGCUGGUCCAGGGUGUUUUCCAGCAGGACCAGGAGGAAUUCUAAGGAAGCUCCAGCCCCUCACCGCCACCCUUUUUGCUCAGGCCCAGCAGAUGCUCCGAGCAGCCGAGCUGGUUCUGGCCCGGUGCACCAAAUCCCAAACUGCCAGGGAAAUCCGGGAGUGGGUGGAGCACCUGCGGAGCCUCCUGGGCAGCCUCCCUUCCCUGCUCCUGGAAAGGAGUGGGAACAGCAGAGCAGAGCAGCUCCAGGCCCUGUGCCACGCCUGGGCCGGAGCCACCGGCAGCCUCCUGUGCUGCUUCGAGGAGACGGUCGGCACACGGGAAUUCCUGGAGCUGUCUGUCCUGGAGAUGGCCAAGCACAGGGAAUGGUGUGAGGCGGCGCUGGGACACCAGGAUCCCGAGGGAUUCUCCUGGCACGCCGCUCGCCUCACCAGCUGGGCACGCUGGGUGGUUGGAGCCACUACCCGGCACGUGGACAGGGCCACAGAUCCCAUCUUCAGGAAUGGGCUGCUGGUGUGGGUGGAGCAACUGGCCAAUUCCAUCCUGGAGCUGAGGGCAGUGCCAGCCCACUGCCUGCAAUCCCGGGAUGCCUUUUCCCAGGCAGCCAGCUGCCUGAUGGACGCUGCUCUCCGUGUCCAAGCCGGGCUGGAUGGGUCCAACCACCUGGAUAUCCUCAGCCCGCUCCGGGAGCGAGUGCGGAGCACCGAGGUGGCAAAGGGGCCGGAGCUCAGCCCGUCCCAUGCUGGGAUACAAACCAGUAUGGAUGAGGCCACAUUCCACAGUGACAUCCCAAGUCCUCCAUCUUCGCCAGCAGGCACCUCCCACCCGGAUGUUCCAUGGGAAGGGGGUGCACACCCUGCCAUCACGGCUCUCCUGGAAGCAUCCCGAGCCCGGGACACGGCCGCUGUCGGUGCCGCUGGCUCUGCCUUGCUGGAGCUCUCCGAGGGCUGUGUGGAUGCAGCACGGGAAGCACUGCCCGUGGCCGAGCCCCCCCAGCUCCUGGUGCUGGGACAGCACCGGGACAUCGCGGCACUGACCCCCAGGAUUAUCAGCCUGGCCAUGGAAACAGCCCGCAGCCAGCUCCGUGCUCCAGGCAGGCUGAUCCACAUGGCACUCAGGCUCUCGGGAAGGAUCCAGGACACCCAGCAGUGCCUGGCAGCCGUGGCAGGCUCUUGGAAUAGUCUGUCCCAGCAAGUGCUUGGGUUUAUCUCGUCAGGUGACUUUCCAAGAGGGAAGCAGGCUUUGGAUGAGGCCAUGCUGGCUUUAGCAGGAGCAGUGCAGUUGGCAGGAGACAUUGCAAGCACAGCCUGUAGUAAGGAAAAUCCCAUUCCCUCCCAAGCUUGGGAUAGCUUUCUGCAGGUCCAAGCCAAGUUUUCCCGUGCUCAGCUGAACACCAAAGUGUUCCUGGGGAAGGCAGAAUCCUUCAGGGGCUCCUGUGGGAUGGAAAAGGCCAUGCUGGAGCUGCACGGUGUCCGGUGGGCCGUGGGCAUGUGUGUCCUGCUGCACGCCAUGGAUCGCUUCGUGGGAAGGGAUGUGCUGUUCCUGAGGGAGCUGAGCAGGGCUGUGAGGAACAAGGUUGGCUCACGGAGCCUCCUGGCUGCCGUGGCCGAGAAUUCCCUGAGGCUGCAGGAGGCUGCCCGGCUCUCUUACCUGUCCUGUCCCAGAGACCGUGGUGCCAGGGAAAUCCUGGCGCUCCGGGGGGAGAUCCAGGUGCUCAUGGAAGCACUGCUGGAUGUCUCCAACACCCUCCUGGUCUCCCCACUGCCUUCAGCCAGCCUGUCCAUCCGCUUCGAGCUCCUGCAGAGGGACGUGGCCCUCAGGGCCAGGGCGUUACUGCUCCGCUUGGAGAGGGUCAACACGGAGCAGCUGCACAUCAUCCAGGACGUGGUUGGAGCAGCCCUGCCUGGCCUCUCCCACGAGGAGAGGGACAGGAGCAAGGAGGCCUUUGAGGAGAAGGCGAGUCGGCUCAUGGCUGACGUCCAGUGGGUCAGGAACACCCUCCGGGACGCUCUGGAGGCCGGAGCUCAACUGCCACCGCGGGACAACCCGCUCUCCACGGCAGAGCACCUUCUGCUCCUCACGGCCCACGCCGUGAGCAGCGCCCGACAGAGCCUCUGGAGCCACUGGGACAUGGGGGAUGCCCACCUGGACACCUGGGAUCCCCAGGGCACAGGGGAUGCCCACCUGGACAGUGUGGUGUGGUACUGGUCAGCCCAGGCCCGCUACCUCCUUACACAGCUCCAGGCCACCCACGGCAUCGGCACAGACGUCCUGCGGCGCAUCACGGAACGCCUGCAGCGGGACCGGGCAUUCCCAGGACAAUCCCAGCUCUGCCCAGCCCCACAGCCCACUGAGGCAGCGGGAAGUCACCCGCUCGGGAGCAGAGCAGGGAGUGGAGCUCCACAGGAAGCAGGUGAAAUGAAGCAGGCAGGUGGAGGAGGUCACUCGGCACCGCCGUGUCCGCACGCUCCGGACCUGGAAUCUCUUCCAUUAUUGUCUGGACAGCAGCAGGAUGGCCCUUCCAGCAUCUCCCCUGCAAAGCACAAGAAAGGAAACUGUGACACAGAGCAGGGCAGCCCCAGCAAGGUGUCCCAGGUCAUCCAGGACAUGGCAAUGAGGAUGCUCCACAUGGCUCAGUUCCUGAGGAAGAAGGGCCCCAUCGCGAGCAAGGAGCAGUUUGUUGCCUGUGCCAGGCAAAUCGCUUCUGACGGGCAGGUGGUUGUCAGAUUUGGGCACAUCCUUGCCAAGCAGUGCCCAGACCAGAGAUGCUCCACGGAGCUGCUCCGCGCCUCCGAGCACACCCACACCCUCAGCAGCCAGCUCGGCAUCGUGGCCAGGGUGAAAGCAGUGACUGGGGAGAGCAAGUCCUCCUCGGAGCUGCUCCUGAGCAACGCGCAGAACCUGGUGCGAGCGGUGCGGCACCUCCUGGGCGCGGCCGAGGCGGCCUCUGUCAAAGGUUUGGGACAACCCUCACCUGACCCUGAAGCAGAAGAAGUUGCUGCUUUUUGCCUGCAGUGGAAGAAAAACCUGUCGUGGCACAGAGCCAAGGAGGCUUUAAAUUCCAGCAGGGAUGAGUUAGGGCUCCGCAAGACUCGGGAAGCAAAGGCGGAGCCCACCCUGAUGGCUGGGGUGCAAGAACCACCCCCUCAGACCAGGAAUAUCCCAAAGCAUCCCAGGCCCAGGAAAGGACACACAGCUAUGGACAGACACCUGUAAAACCAGGGAGGGGCUUCUCAUCCUGAUGGUGUUGGAGUAUUUGCAAGAUGAAGGAUUCGUGUUGGAGCGUUUCCAUUGUGGCAGGAAAAUCUUGGAAGAGGCUCCGUGGGGAGGCCAGGAAUGUUCUGGACACCCAAUUCCCAGGCAGGAAGAAAACUACUCCCAGUAGCCAAGAAGGGACAAUUUCCCCCAAGUCCACUUCCUUCAGACAGGAAUUCUACGUGAGAGGAGUGGAAGGAGUUGUUCUAAGAUUCCCAAUGUUUUUAGUGUUGGAUUCACCCCCCUUUUCUGUUAAGGCCUGUUGGGCAGUGACUGGAGAGAGACAGGAAAAUCCUACGUGAACCAGAGGUCAGGAUUAGUGCCUGGAUCCCUCACCUUAUCCAGCAGCUCCUUUGUUUCCGCAGUCAGGGGAGCGUGAGAGAAUUUGCACUUAUCUCCUUGAUAGCACUUGGCUCCUGUGUGGUAGAACUUGCAGGGGAAUUCAUGUAAUUCAAGGAGUUAAAGAUUCCUAACAGUUUGGGAAGGUUAGAAAAUCCAGCUGGCAGCUAUCCUUCAAUUCUUCACCAGGAAUUCAUCUUUCCAAUGCCACACGUUAUGAAAUUUGGAAGCUAAAAACCAACUUACCUCUUACUCCCAACUUAAAAUUCUCCUGAUAAUUACAUUUCUGUGGCCUUUGGAUUUCAUUUUCAAGUUGUGAUUAAAAAGGGGAAGGAAAGCACAAGAACAAUAAUCGGGAACAGAUCAGAGGUUAAAAAAUAUGUGGAUAAAUAUAUCUGAACUUCAAGGAGUUUUAUCUUUAAAAAUGUUAAAAAUCCUUAAAAUUGACACAGCCCCAGAUUUUAUAUUUAUUUUUUCCUCUUAACUAGUUAAGAAAAAAAAAUCAUCUGUAACAAAUCUACCAUCUUUGGUAGAGUCUCUUAAGGAAAGAAAGAGCCACCCUUAAAAAUCACUUACACCAAAAUAAACAGAAAUAAACAGCAAUAUAAACUUCCUGAUGAAUCCUCAAGUGUUUUCAAAGGAUAUUGUGCAAAUAGAUGCAGUUCUCUCCUUUGGUGCAGUAACCCUGGAUGUAAAACUUGCAGAUUUCCUUUUUCUUCUCAAUCUCUGCGUCGUGAUCAAAUUUACACUGUUCCCCCUAUAAAUAUAUCAAAAAACAAGGAAAAGCCAUUAGUGAAAUGCUGAACAAUUUCAUUUCACACUGAAAGAAGAACAUCCUCCUCAGCUCCUCAGCUGAAACUUUUCAUCUUGACUAACACUGACUUGCAUUAGAAUCACAUCCCUAAAAUGAGUGAAUAGGAGAAAAUUCCUGGAUUGGAUUUCAAAGGAAUAUACAGAGUGGUGACAGAAAACAAGCUGCUCUUAGUCUCAGGUCUUUUCUCUGUCUCCACCUUAGAAUUUGCAUUAAAAAAGGCAUUUAAGCCAAUAUUUUCCUGGAUUAUUUUCCAUGCAUCCUGUUAUCCAUUCGGAUUAUUUUGCUGGGCAGGGGGUUUGUGGAUCUUUUUAGCAUUUAUUUUCAUGAACAAGACACCAGGUGCUCUUUCAGGCCCUUUUAAAACUGAAGGUGGCAGCAAAUACUCGUCUCACUGAGCCAAACUUUCAAAGGCAGCAAGAAAUACAAUAUUUCCAAUAAUUUUCGCCUUUAUUUUGACCAUUUGAGAAACAAACAUAAAAUAUUCCACUUCUAAAUCCUGAGGAACCAAAGAAAAGUGAGUCACUCGCUGAAGAAGCAUCCAGUGGUUUAAGGGUGUGUUUUAUAACAAUCCCACUUUUUAGAGAGAGAAAUCACUUGGACAUCAAUGUUUCCAAAUUAGCAAGGAACAAACAACUUAAUAUAUUCAGGGAUUGUUGCCUAUUUAGGUUCCAGACUUGUGAGAUUUAUCAUAUGAUAAAAUAUUUUUAUUUGGUAUUUACAUAUGAUGCACUGCCAGUGUAAGUUUAUGAUGCUGUCACAGAUGCUUUUAUUGCAUAUAUUAAUAAAAAUAUAAUACUUACAAUGGAAUUAAUAAAUUAAAUGGAAUCUAAUAGCAGUUAAAUUCAAAAUGUGUAACAGAAGAGGAUGUUUUCCCACAAGCAAUUCUGCUGGAUUUAUCAAUACAUCCUCAAAACCUCAGAAAUCAAAAUAUUGAGUUGCAACACCCAAGUUUUCUUUAAAUCAGCUAAGAAUGAAGUAAAAAAAAGAAUUAAAACUGUACCUUAAUGCACCUGCCUUCGAGGAAAUAUUUACAGAUCUGUUUGCCCUUGUGCUCCACCGUGUGCUGGUUGAUGAACUCCUGGCUCAUAUUCACCCACUUCUUCACUGGUUUGCCAUCCUGGAAAACCAAAAAAUCCCCCUUUUACUGAUGCUGCACAAAUAUUAGUUGCCACGUGGUGCCCUGGGAAUAAGGGCUGUGAUGCCAGGUACCUCAUGGAAGCCAUCAGAUCCUUUGUUGCCUCCUCUUCCCCUGCCCCGAUCUUUGCGCUUCAGCUUCUUCUGCAUCCCGCGCCCUCGGCCCACGUUGUAAUUGUUCCCUCGCUGGGAAAUGCCUGGAAAACGGGAAUGACCUCUUCAGACCAGGAAAUUAAGGGAAAAUGGUUCUCCAGUGGCAUCAUGGAACAAAGGAACUCUCUUUCUGCUGUUGGAAAUGUCAUUUCUAACCAGCCCUGGGGAAGCCACCCCUGGCAGUUUCCCUCACCCAGGUCUCCAUCCCAGAAUGAUCCAGGACACAGCUGCUGCCCCCCAGAAUUCCCUUACCUUUCUGGAUCCCUUUCAUCCCCUGUUUCUUCACCGGCUCCUUUGGGAAUGGAGGUCCCAAAUCCCCACUGGAGGUCUCCUUAGCCUGUCUGUACUGUUUCAGCUGGUCAGCAAAAUCCUCAUCCUUUUCUUCCUCGUUGUAAUUCCCAAAGUUUUCAUCGCUGUAGUGACUGUAGUCAUCAUAUUCCUUACUUUUGACAUUUUUUUUAUGCUGCAUUUUCUGGGAACUCAUGUAAUUCCCUGACACGUGCCCAUGCUGUAGGAAAGGGACUGCAUUAGGAAGCAACUCCGUAUUUCCAAAUCCCACACUCCAAACCACUCUAAAACCCCAUUUUUGGGGCUGUUUUACUCCCAGAUUUGCCCCAAGAAAGCAUCAGUAAUACAAAGAAAACCAGUUAUUCAGUAAAAACCACUAUUUUUGAUUCCCAGACUGGGAAAAACCAGGACAAACUGAGCUCCCAGGCAGCAGAAUCAACUUUAGAUAUUGCAAAAUGGUUUUUCAAGAGCUGUUUCCUCUUAGCCCCAUCUAAAUCCAACACAGGCAAUAAAAUAUUCCUUAGUAAUAAAGAUUCCUUAAUUCCUGUUGCCUCGUGGAGGAAAAAUUGGUAUCAAGCUUGUUCACACUACCUCCCUUCUGCCACAGAUCCUGCUCUCCAUCUGGGAAUAUACCCAGGGAGAUGAGAACUAGACGUGCUCCCUGAAAUCUGGGAGAACGGGCACCGGGAUCGAGCCAAGAAUUCCCGAACCACAGCGUUUCCAUUGGCAUCUUUGAAAUGCCACCUGAGAAAUCCCUUGAAAAACUUCCUACCUGACUGAAGGACGAAUCAUAAUCCCUGUAGGAAGAGCUGCUGCUCUUCUUGUGUGGCCUUUCCGGGCGCUCCAGGUCGGAGUCGUGGCUGUAGUCGGAACUGUCAUCGCUGGAAGGGGAAUUAUGCUGGAAAUAAAAGCAAAAAGAGCUGUGGGACUGCCAGGAAUUUCAAGGGAUCCAUAUGAGAACACUCUGUUUUUAAAAAAGGACCAGCAGGUUUCGUUUUCCAGGAUCAAGUUUUAUUAACCUCUUGCACUGAAGUUGAUUGAAAUCUCUAUUAGCUGCGUUUUCCCAAUGAAUUUUCCUGAAGAAUUCACUCAUCUUGCCUGACAUCUUUUCUUUCCAUAAAUAAUCAGCACAAAAGUGAAACUGGUAAACUGAAAUUUUUGCCUCUUUAUCCUAAAAACUCUCAGAUCCCUGUGGUUCAGCUUCCAAGCCUGCUCUCAGUGGCCAGGGCUUAACUUAAACCACUGCUUGAGAUUUAAAACCAGUUUAAGUCUUAAUACAAAUGACACCAUUUUAGUUUCCCUCUCCAGUUCCCUGGAUUCUUGUCUAAACCUGGAAACCUGCAAUUCCAAUCAGCACCUCCAAUACUUUGCUUUUUUGUUCCUAACCUUAUGCUUGUCCCGUCUUCUCCUCUUGGAUUUCUUCUUUUCCUUCUCUUUUUUGCGUUUUUUCCGGGAUUUCCGGUGGCCUUUCUCGGUUUUCUGUUUGUCAUCUCCUUUUGUGCUGUGCUCCUUCACAUCCUCAUAGGCAGCAUCAUCUAUCUCCCCGUCUUCCAGCUCUCCAUCUUCUCUGUAGGAGGAAAAACAGCAGGACAAUAAAAUUCCACGUCACUGUCCAGCUCGUUAGCACUGGAAAAAAAUAAAAAAGGUUAAGAAGUUUGAAGCAACCCCAAGCUGUGAUUUUUGGGAUAAAUGGAUAAGCCAGGGAGAAGACAUGACUGCUGUAUGACCUCCUACGGCCUGGAAUUUCUUGGAAUUAACAAGAAAGUGAAACUGGAGCAUAAAUAUUCCUGAAACACCUGCAGCUAUCCCAAAAAAAACCAAUUCUAUUUUGACAACAUCAGCUAAACUCGUUCCCUCAAGGAUCAAUUAAAUUAUCCUCCUCAAAUACCCACUGGAAAUGCUCUCUGGGAACAAGGUCGUUCCCAUUUCCCAGUUCCCUGGGGAACUGCACUCAUAGACUUCCACUUCUGGGACACAUCCAGGGCUGGAAUAACUCUCCAGGUAAAACACUCUCUGUAAUACAAUCCUUUGGAUUGCAUGUCAGAGGGAAGAUUACACAACUCCUCUAAUCCCUACAUUCUUUCCACAACAUCCAAGCAUUUUCCAAGCACUGAACUUCCAGAAUGUAAAAAUUAAAAAAAAAAAAAAAAGAAAAAUAAGAAAAGCCACAAGCUAACUGGAUAAAUAUGACUUGGAAAGGUAAUGGUCAAAAAUGUAUCAUUUCUUGGGAAAACCGUUAUUCUUCAAGGAAAGCUUCAGGGAAUUGGCAGGGCAGGAAUUCUCAUCUGGUUUAGAGGCUUUUAUUCCCAUUUAAAUCCCAAACUGGAGCUGUGCACUAGGAAAGCAGAGCAGAGCCUCCCCCUCUUCCACAAUCUCCAGCUACUCAGAGCUCCAUGGAUAUGUGAGAACCACCCCAGAAAGAUUCCCACUGUCCCCAGGGGAUUCCUAGGGCAUCUCCCAAAUGGAUCAGAAAGGAACAGAACCCAGGGAGAAUCAGGCUGGAGAAACCACUGAGCAGUCACACAAAUCUCUGGGAAGGGAAAACCAAAAUCCACAUCUCUGGGCAGGGAAAAAAAUUAAAACCCCACACCUCAAAUGACUCCCCCAAAUUCUGGUGGUUUAACUUCAUUUCUAACCUUCAGACCUGGGGUUUUAACUCCACUCCCUUCACCUCAUUCCGGGUCAGUUGUAAAAAUAGAAUUCCUUAUGCCCAAAAGAGGAUUUACACCUCAAGCUCCUUAAGCCCAAGAUCCAAACCCAGGAUGCAUUUCCUCAGAUAUUAUGGGGAUCCCGAGCCUCAAACAUUAUUCAAGCCUCUAAAUUUUAGGUUUGAUUCAGGGCCUCAGAAAGGUCUGAGUUAAAAACAAUUAUAUUUUGGUUUAAAAUAGUGCAGGAGACCUUAAACCACCCAAGUGUUUGUGACACUGGUCCAGAACAAUUUAAAGAAAAAAAAAACCUCCCUCCCAAUGCUCUCAACAGGUUUAUAAAAUGAUAAAGAGCUCAAUAAUGAAGAUAAUAAUUAUUUCAGUAAUGAAAUAUUAUUGUAUGAAAACUCCAUGCCUAAAAUAAGACAUUAGAGGGCUAAAGUUCCCCAAAUUUUGAGACUAGGGUGCUGCUAGGCUAAAGAAAUUAGGAAUUAAUAAGGACAGUAAUUCCAAAUAACACAGAAAUUUAACUGGGAAAAUCAAAUAAAACCAGAGGGGUGGCUGGGAGGAGUAAGAAAGUGAAAGUCAGUGAACUCCAAGUGAUUUUCUAAAGUUCCUGGGAAAGCUGGCACCGAUUUAUGUGUUUAUUUGCUGGAACUGAGUUUGCCUUCAACUUCCUCCUCACCCACAGAACCAAGAGAUCCUCACUAAAUGCUCACCUUGCAGGAAAAACCUUUCCAAGGUCCCUGUAUUUGAAGGCUCAGACCCUUCAUCACCAAAAUAACAUCAGCAAGAGGAGUUAACUACAAACAUUUAAAGAAUUACAAACAAUUUGGCUUGAGAAAACAAAGACUCCGGAUUAAAACAACCUUCCAACUUGGAAUAUUCAAACUGUGAACAGACAGGGCUUUUUACUGUUUUCUACUGCUCAAAAAACAGUAACAAAAUCAAAGACACUGGAUUAAAACAGGAUUAAAACAACCUUCCAACUUGGAAUAUUCAGAGUGUGGCCAGACAGGUUUUUUUUUUUUAACUGAGCAACUUCUUGAGAAUUCUGCAGAUCAGCUCAAAUCGAACCAUGUAUUAACAGCAAUGCCCCGAAUUCCUGCUGCACAGACUGAUGGAACCUGCGAGGUUCCCAGUAUGGGUGUUCCCUGCAGUGAACUGGUUCUACUGGUCCUGCAUUUGCACACCUGAUGUGACACAAAAACCUGGAGUUGGGGCUUUUCUGCAGUGAGUUAAGAAUGUAUUUUACCAAAAAUAUGAUCUCCCGGGUCGUGUUUGCUGUUGCUAUUUGGGAAUUAAAGCAUUAUAAAGCAACGCUUAUAAAUUACAA